rnacentral:rRNA from 1 species
AACGAACGCUGGCGGCAGGCUUAACACAUGCAAGUCGAGCGCCCCGCAAGGGGAGCGGCAGACGGGUGAGUAACGCGUGGGAAUCUACCCAUCUCUACGGAAUAACGCAUGGAAACGUGUGCUAAUACCGUAUACGUCCUUCGGGAGAAAGAUUUAUCGGAGAUGGAUGAGCCCGCGUUGGAUUAGCUAGUUGGUGGGGUAAAGGACUACCAAGGCGACGAUCCAUAGCUGGUCUGAGAGGAUGAUCAACCACACUGGGACUGAGACACGGCCCAGACUCCUACGGGAGGCAGCAGUGGGGAAUAUUGGACAAUGGGCGCAAGCCUGAUCCAGCCAUGCCGCGUGAGUGAUGAAGGCCCUAGGGUUGUAAAGCUCUUUCACCGGUGAAGAUAAUGACGGUAACCGGAGAAGAAGCCCCGGCUAACUUCGUGCCAGCAGCCGCCGUAACAC